CCCCUCUCAGGGUCACAGCUGGGGAGUUUCCAGUAUUCUACCAGUCUCAGCUACGGGAGGGAGAGUCAAUCAGAGGCAUACCCAUUUCAUUCCUAGUUUGGGCAGUGGCUAGCGAGUGGAAGGCAAUCUGCUGCAAGC